rnacentral:rRNA from 1 species
CAAUAGCGUAUAUUAAAGUUGUUGCAGUUAAAAAGCUCGUAGUUGGAUUUCUGGUGGGAGCGAUCGGUCUGGCGCUUAGCGCGAGUACUAGCAUCGUCUCCGGCCAUCCUUGGGGAGAGUCUGUCUGGCAUUAGGUUGUCGGGCAGAGGAUCCUCAUCGUUUACUGUGAAAAAAUUAGAGUGUUCAAAGCAGGCUUAUGCCGUUGAAUAUAUUAGCAUGGAAUAAUAAGAUAGGACUUUGGUACUAUUUUGUUGGUUUGCGCACCAAAGUAAUGAUUAAUAGGGACAGUUGGGGGUAUUCGUAUUCCGUUGUCAGAGGUGAAAUUCUUGGAUUUACGGAAGACGAACUACUGCGAAAGCAUUUACCAAGGAUGUUUUCAUUAA